GUGUCGCAACGUCUUGGGCUUUGAUUUUACCGCUCUAACUCAUUUAUGCUUUUCUGUAGUUACAUGUACAUUGUAACACUAUAUUAAGCUCUUAUGUUUAGCUUUUGGCUUUUAAGAAGUAAUUGGCAAUAUUCUCAUCGAUCUUUGCUUGAGAUCAUUAAACCACAGUCCACGUGAAUGAAGCGAGUAUCCUGCGUACUAUAUAUAAAUGCUGGAAUGGGAUCAGCCAUGCAGAAAUGUGUUGUUACACGCUACCUUCACAGAGAUCCCUCCUGCAACAGUUUUUCUCCGGGUUCAGCUCCUGCUCCUGGUCCAGGUUCAACUGUUGCUCCUGGUCCAGGUUCAACUCCUGCUUCUGGCCCAGGUUCA